AUGCCCUCCGGCCGGCCCGGCCUCCAGCGCCCCCCGCCCGGCCGCCGCUCGGAGCCGCCGCCCGCCGCGCGCGUCCCUCGCCUCGGCGUCUGCCGCUCCCCCUGCCCCCGCGGCCGGGCGCCGCUUCCCUCCCCGCGCGCUCCCGGGCCUCGCCCCCGCCCCCCGCGCCGCCCCCGCCCGGGCCGAGCCGCCGCGCCGCCGCGCCGCCGAGCCCAGCCCGCUGCCCCUGCCCCGGGACGCUCCGCUAGGGGCCGCGCCCGGGUCGCCGGCGGCGGGGGGGCGUGUGCAGGGGACGGGGCCGGGGGACUCGGACGUCGGGGCCCGGGCACGUCGCCCGGGACGCAGCCGCCGCUCCGGUCUCCUCUCCGGGAAGCACAGACGGGGUUUUUUCUGGUCGGCCUGCGGGGGCCGGGGCCGGGGCCGGGGCCGGGGCCGGGGCCUGAGCCCGGAGCGGGGCCUCCUCGCGGGAGGCGCCCCGCCGCGGCGCUCGGGCGGGCCCGGGGUCCCCGGGGAGGCUCCGGGCCGCCAGCCCCGCCCCCUCCGCCGCGGCCUCGCCGGGACCCCCAGCUCGGGAGCCCCGAGGGGGUGGGCCCGCGGGGCUCGGACCCGCCCCCGCCCUGCCCCCGCCCUGCCCCCGCCCGCAGCUCGGGGCUCACGUCUCUCCCACCCUCCCCAGUCUCGACCCUUGCAGACGCGGCCCGGCCUCUCCGGCUCCGCCCCGGGCUCCACCCCGGGCGGCUCCAGCCGCGAGACCCCGGGCUCAGCUGGGACCCCCACUCCCGAGCCCCGCCUCCUGCUCCACCCCUAAACACCCCCAAACUGUCCUCGCGGACUCGGGCCCACGGGGGACCCUGGGCUUGGGGCAGGAGCCGGAGGAGUCUUUGCGGGCGGAGGAGGGGGUGCAGAGGGGGCGGGGUUGCGUGCUCUGGGCCGGGAGGGGACGCCGGAGCGCCAAGAGGAAGGGGUCCCGGACCCCCAGCCCCACACCUUUCAGGAUCAGGCAGGGAAACUGAGGUGCUUGGAGGGCCCGGGAUGCCUGGAGCAGAGAGCCUUAAGGAUGCUCAGGAGCAAGCUCAUGUGGUGGUCGGGGCCCUUGGAGAUACCAUCUGGGCUAAGUGGCAGCCCCUGCCCAUCCACUUACCAGUUGUGGAUCCUGGGCAGGACGACUUCCUGCUGUCUGGGCCUCAGUUUCCUCAUCUGUAA
rnacentral:lncRNA from 1 species